AAAACAUAGCUCUCAAACUAAGGGCCCACAUACUCUGAACAGACUCUAUACGCAUGCAGUAAGUGCCAAAAUAUCCACAGCCUCCUCAAGACAUUCCACAUCCACGUUCUGGUGACUCAUUCAGACUGCAUACAGCGAUGACAAAGCAUCUUAUUCUAUUGCUUGCCAUCUUGGACAUCGCCAUUAAAACAUUAAACACUGAAGAGGAGCUGAAGGAGACUGGGUUUGGAUAUCCACCUCCUCGACACGGACUCGCCCUAAUUAAGUGCAGGUUUCUGCUCCCUCCGCUGAAGGACAAACGCACGUAUAUGUACUUCACCAUAUAGGAAACCUUCACUAACGGCACUCUAAGGACCUUCCCUAUGAAGUGAGGAAAUAUUAUGAUCCACAUAACAAAAUGAGCAACAUGGACAGAGUCACUGUGAAGCUCAAUAGUAACAAGAACAAAACUAAGGAGAUCUACAUAUCAGAGCACCAAAUCCUCUCAAAACUUUUCAGUUAGGAGUCUCUCUCAUCAGUGACUUAAGACGGCACCAGAACGAAACGCAAAAGGUUUUUCCAAUAAUCUCUCAAAACAUUUUUACAUAAGAUAUUCCCCACAGCUGAGCCCAUUUGCACUUUCAGUUUACUAGAGAUUUUGUUAAGCCAGCUUUCACUUCUGGGUUUUUCUUCUGUACUAGCCCACUUUAUUCCGCUUCCUAUUUUCAUUCUCUCCAUCACAUACCACAAAACAAUUUAGUAACUUCCUCCAUGAAGCUUAAUGUGGACUUCAGACCUGGGUUUACUGUUUACAGCAAUGUGAUCAACUUUUGCCUACCUUUGGUCGUAUCUAUUAUAAAUAUGAGUUUUAAAGGUGAAGUGUGCAAUUUUUUUGUUAAUACAUUUCUUCUAUCUCAUCAAUAUGUAGCCCGAUCUCAUUUUGUAUGUUUGGAUAUACACUGAAAAAUACGAUACAAACAAACUGACAGCAUCUUAAACAUAAACAUAUUUACAUUUUCACCGCUUAAAAAAGUGACAUAUUAUAUCAUACAUAUAUUUUUGAGCCCCUAUCCUGAUCACUUCUCAACCAUAUAAAAAGAAAUUUUAUAGGCAGAUUGAUGUAUAAUUUCAAUUUUAGUGACAAAAAAAUUGUAGAGAUUUUUUUCAAAUGUGUUAUUCUGUGGUGCAGUCACAAAAGGUCUGUUGUUAAUGGUGUAGUGAAGUCACUUGUAAACCAGUCAACUUUCUGUUGGUCAGUGUGGCAAAUUUGUUUGACCAACUUGAUGCCAGUGCAAAAUCUGUGUGGGG
ensembl:lncRNA